CUGGGCUCGAAGCGCAGUGGACCGGGGUAGAAAUAUCCCUUUCCNCAAGGACUGCUGCGGAGGUGCUGCAUGGCUGUCGUCAGCUCGUGUCNUGAGAUGUUGGGUUAAGUCCCNCAACGAGCGCAACCCUUAUCCCUAGUUGCCANCGGGUCAAGCCGGGCACUCUAGUGAAACCGCCCCGGAUAACGGGGAGGAAGGUGGGGAUGACGUCAAGUCCUCAUGGCCUUUAUGUCCAGGGNUACACACGUGCUACAAUGGUCGGUACAAACCGUCGCAAACCCGCGAGGGGGAGCUAAUCGGAAAAANCCGACCUCAGUUCGGAUUGGAGUCUGCAACUCGACUCCAUGAAGCUGGAAUCGCUAGUAAUCGCAGAUCANCACNCUGCGGUGAAUA
rnacentral:rRNA from 1 species